rnacentral:rRNA from 1 species
UACGUAGGGUGCAAGCGUUGUCCGGAAUUAUUGGGCGUAAAGAGCUCGUAGUCGGUCUGUCGCGUCGGAUGUGAAAACCCAGGGCUCAACCCUGGGCCUGCAUUCGAUACGGGCAGACUAGAGUUCGGUAGGGGAGACUGGAAUUCCUGGUGUAGCGGUGAAAUGCGCAGAUAUCAGGAGGAACACCGGUGGCGAAGGCGGGUCUCUGGGCCGAAACUGACGCUGAGGAGCGAAAGCGUGGGGAGCAAACAGG